rnacentral:rRNA from 1 species
UGGCGAACGGGUGAGUAAUAUAUCGGAACGUGCCCAGUCGUGGGGGAUAACGUAGAGAAAUUUACGCUAAUACCGCAUACGAUCUAAGGAUGAAAGCGGGGGACUCUGCAAAGAGCCUCGCGCGAUUGGAGCGGCUGAUAUCAGAUUAGCUAGUUGGUAAGGUAACGGCUUACCAAGGCAACGAUGGGUAGGGGUCCUGAGAGGGAGAUCCCCCACACUGGUACUGAGACACGGACCAGACUCCUACGGGAGGCAGCAGUGAGGAAUAUUGGACAAUGGGCGCAAGCCUGAUCCAGCCAUGCCGCGUGCAGGAUGAAGGCCUUCGGGUUGUAAACUGCUUUUGUACGGAACGAAACGGUCACCUCUAAUACGGGUGGCUAAUGACGGUACCGUAAGAAUAAGCACCGGCUAACUACGUGCCAGCAGCCGCGGUAAUACGGAGGAUCCAAGCGUUAUCCGGAAUCAUUGGGUUUAAAGGGUCCGUAGGCGGUCAGGUAAGUCAGUGGUGAAAGCCCAUCGCUCAACGGUGGAACGGCCAUUGAUA